rnacentral:rRNA from 1 species
GACGAACGCUGGCGGCGUGCUUAACACAUGCAAGUCGAACGAAGAACGAUGGAAGCUUGCUUCUAUCAAUCUUAGUGGCGAACGGGUGAGUAACGCGUAAUCAACCUGCCCUUCAGAGGGGGACAACAGUUGGAAACGACUGCUAAUACCGCAUACGAUCCAAUCUCGGCAUCGAGACUGGAUGAAAGGUGGCCUCUAUUCAUAAGCUAUCACUGAAGGAGGGGAUUGCGUCUGAUUAGCUAGUUGGAGGGGUAACGGCCCACCAAGGCGAUGAUCAGUAGCCGGUCUGAGAGGAUGAACGGCCACAUUGGGACUGAGACACGGCCCAGACUCCUACGGGAGGCAGCAGUGGGGAAUCUUCCGCAAUGGACGAAAGUCUGACGGAGCAACGCCGCGUGAGUGAUGACGGCCUUCGGGUUGUAAAGCUCUGUUAAUCGGGACGAAUGGUUCUUGUGCGAAUAGU